UACAGAGGUCCCAAGCGUUGUUCGGAUUCACUGGGCGUAAAGGGUGCGUAGGUGGCCGGGUAAGUCUGACGUGAAAUCUCCGAGCCUAACUCGGAAACUGCAUCGGAUACUAUCCGGCUUGAGGGUUGGAGGGGGGACUGGAAUACUUGGUGUAGCAGUGAAAUGCGUGGAUAUCAAGUGGAACACCAGUGGCGAAGGCGAGUCCCUGGACAACUCCUGACACUGAGGCACGAAAGCUAGGGGAGCAAACAGG
rnacentral:rRNA from 1 species